ACCCCUUGUAGGAGCUGACGAGUGCAACGAGGCUGCGAUCUUUUGAUUUUGCUUUGAAGAUCAAGAGAUCGCAGCCUCGUUGCACUCGUCAGCUCCUACA
rnacentral:misc_RNA from 1 species